rnacentral:tRNA from 1 species
UGGGACAUAGCUCAGUGGUAGAGUGUGUGCUUAGCAUGCACAAGGUCCUGGGUUCAAUCCCCAGUGCCUCCA